GACGAACCGUGCGAACGUUAUUCGGAAUCACUGGGCUUAAAGCGCGUGUAGGCGGGCCGGCACGUCGGUGACUGAAAUCCCCCGGCUCAACCGGGGAAGCGGUGCCGAUACGACCGGCCUGGAGGGACGUAGGGGGGGCUGGAACUUCCGGUGGAGCGGUGAAAUGCGUUGAGAUCGGAAGGAACGCCCGUGGCGAAAGCGGGCCCCUGGGGAUGCACCGACGCUGAGACACGAAAGCCAGGGGAGCGAACGGG
rnacentral:rRNA from 1 species